GCCGAAUUAAAAAACCUCCUCAUAUGAUCUAUAAUCCUGCUAUCUGGAAUUUAUUCAAAGAAGCCUACACACAGAUGUUCUCAAUGAAAGACCCACAACGUGAGGACUCCCCCACGUUCUGACUCAGGAGGGGCAACACCCCAAAUCACUCACGAGAAAUGGUCUCGCCGCAAACUGCAAGAGGACUUUUAUUUCAAGAGCACUCUCGGACCCACCGUCAUACACCACGCAGGGGUAGAGGACCAUGGCACCCCAAGUAGCUCGAUGGGCAAAGACUAAAGAGCCCUGCUACCAAUCAAGAAGAAGGCACAAACCCACUCAAGAUGGAGUGCUUGGUGUUUUCCUGGGUGUUUCAUGUUGAGAGUCAGGACACAGGACUGGUUUCCAGCAAUGCAGUACUUUCAGCCCCAUAUAUAGAAAAUGGGAGUUUAAGCAACUCUUCAAGUACCUCUCCUUGAGCUCUGAAAGGCUCGUAUAUCAAUGCUUUCCUCCCUCUUCUGCUGGGAGUGCCCAGACAUUAUUCACAUUUUUCACCUGUGAAAACAUCCAUGUUUGGUCUGGAGUGAAACUCGAUGAUUCAGCAGUGGAACGAAGUACAACUGCAUCUUCUCUUUCAGUCUCCCCUCCCCAUGUGCACUAUUUCAUUGUCGGAUCAGAAGGAUGAGGGGACCGACGUGCCAACUGCUCGAUGCCCAUAGACAGCCUGUCCAGAGCCAUCACAGUCAUCUGUGCAACAACCCGACUAUGGUCAUGAGCAAGGGUGGGGCCUUCUGCCCCUGCCAUGCAAGUCCUUUCUACAGAUGCAGCAGACAGAUGACAAGGUCAGCUCUGGUACAAAGAGGUAUAUCCUUGUCCUUGAAACAGAGGUGCGCAAUGUUUUGACAUAUAUAACAUGGCACUGUCAUCUUCAAAUGUGUUGCCUUACCUGCAUGCUGUUGCAUUACCUGC
rnacentral:lncRNA from 1 species